AAAUCUCAACUUUAUUAGAAGAGACGCAUUUAUUAGAUAAAAAGCCAGUUCAUGCUUUUAUAGUAUGAAAAUUGGUGAUUUAUAAUAACUUAGCAAAUCGCAAAGUGAAAACAGGCGAUAAAUCAUUCAAGUUUCUGACCUAUCAGCUUUCGACGGUAUGGUAUUGGCUUACCGUGGCAGUGACGGUUAACGGGGGAUUAGGGUUCGAUUCCGGAGAGGGAGCCUGAGAAACGGCUACCACAUCUAAGGAAGGCAGCAGGCGCGCAAAUUACCCAAUUCUAACAGUUUGAGAGAGGUAGUAACAAGAAAUAACAAUACAAGGCAGUUAAAAUGCUUUGUAAUUGGAAUGAUAGAAAUUUAAACCCUUUUUAAAGUAUCAAUUGGAGGGCAAGUCUGGUGCCAGCAGCCGCGGUAAUUCCAGCUCCAAUAGCGUAUAUUAAAAUUGUUGCAGUUAAAAAGCUCGUAGUUGAAGUUCUGCUGAAAGUAACCGGUCUGCUUUUAAUAAAAGUGGUAUCUUGGUAUGUAUUUAGCAAUGAUGUCCUUUGAAGUGUUUUUUACUUUAUUGUAAUAAAGCAUAUUCAGGACUUUUACUUGAGAAAAUUAGA
rnacentral:rRNA from 1 species